rnacentral:rRNA from 1 species
ACUCCUACGGGAGGCAGCAGUAGGGGAAUCUUCCACAAUGGGCGCAAGCCUGAUGGAGCAACACCGCGUGAGUGAAGAAGGGUUUCGGCUCGUAAAGCUCUGUUGUUAAAGAAGAACACGUAUGAGAGUAACUGUUCAUACGUUGACGGUAUUUAACCAGAAAGUCACGGCUAACUACGUGCCAGCAGCCGCGGUAAUACGUAGGUGGCAAGCGUUAUCCGGAUUUAUUGGGCGUAAAGAGAGUGCAGGCGGUUUUCUAAGUCUGAUGUGAAAGCCUUCGGCUUAACCGGAGAAGUGCAUCGGAAACUGGAUAACUUGAAUGCAGAAGAGGGUAGUGGAACUCCAUGUGUAGCGGUGGAAUGCGUAGAUAUAUGGAAGAACACCAGUGGCGAAGGCGGCUACCUGGUCUGCAACUGACGCUGAGACUCGAAAGCAUGGGGUAGCGAACAGGGAUUAGAUACCCUGGUAGGAUAGCG